AGCAGCCGCGGUAAUACGUAGGGUGCAAGCGUUAAUCGGAAUUACUGGGCGUAAAGCGUGCGCAGGCGGUGAUGUAAGACAGAUGUGAAAUCCCCGGGCUCAACCUGGGAACUGCAUUUGUGACUGCAUCGCUGGAGUGCGGCAGAGGGGGAUGGAAUUCCGCGUGUAGCAGUGAAAUGCGUAGAUAUGCGGAGGAACACCGAUGGCGAAGGCAAUCCCCUGGGCCUGCACUGACGCUCAUGCACGAAAGCGUGGGGAGCAAACAGGAUUAGAUACCCUG
rnacentral:rRNA from 1 species